rnacentral:rRNA from 1 species
GACAGAGGUCCCGAGCGUUGUUCGGAUUCAUUGGGCGUAAAGGGUGUGUAGGCGGCCAGGUAAGUCAGGUGUGAAAUCUCAGAGCUUAACUCUGAAACUGCGCUUGAUACUGCUUGGCUAGAGGAUCGGAGGGGGUAUCGGAAUUUAUGGUGUAGCAGUGAAAUGCGUAGAUAUCAUAAGGAACACCGGUGGCGAAGGCGGAUGCCUGGAAGAUUCCUGACUCUGAAACACGAAAGCCAGGGGAGCAAACGGG